UGGUAAUGCCGGAUGCUCCAGUUGAUCGCAUGGUCUUCUGGGAAAGCUUUCGCGGUAUGGGAUGGGGUCGCGUCCUAUCAGCUUGACGGCGGGGUAACGGCCCACCGUGGCUUCGACGGGUAGCCGGCCUGAGAGGGCGACCGGCCACAUUGGGACUGAGAUACGGCCCAGACUCCUACGGGAGGCAGCAGUGGGGAAUAUUGCACAAUGGGCGCAAGCCUGAUGCAGCGACGCCGCGUGAGGGAUGGAGGCCUUCGGGUUGUAAACCUCUUUUAUCGGGGAGCAAGCGAGAGUGAGUUUACCCGUUGAAUAAGCACCGGCUAACUACGUGCCAGCAGCCGCGGUAAUACGUAGGGUGCAAGCGUUAUCCGGAAUUAUUGGGCGUAAAGGGCUCGUAGGCGGUUCGUCGCGUCCGGUGUGAAAGUCCAUCGCUUAACGGUGGAUCCGCGCCGGGUACGGGCGGGCUUGAGUGCGGUAGGGGAGACUGGAAUUCCCGGUGUAACGGUGGAAUGUGUAGAUAUCGGGAAAGAACACC
rnacentral:rRNA from 1 species